ensembl:lncRNA CCDC26 CCDC26 long non-coding RNA
ACGCUACAGUGCUACUGGCCCAUAAUCAGGCAACUGCAGAGUCUUAGGGGGUUAUCUAAUGUAGUCUUGGGGUGGCUGGAUAGACUUCCCAAAGAAGGUGAUGCCGAAGCUGAGGUCGGAAAUUACGAAGAUCAGCUAUCAAACUUGGAAAUCAUGUCUUAGAGAUCAAGGAGCCAAGAGAUGAGACAAGCCUGGGUUCCUAGGUGAUAGGGUGUGGCUGUGUCCCCACCCAAAUCUCGUCUUGAAUUGUAGCUCCCAUAAUCCCCACAUGUUGUGGAGGGACCCUGUGGAAGGUAAUUGAAUUAUGGAGAUUGUGCCUGCAGCCUGGCCUGUUGCCCACAGCGGUCUACCUGCCACACUGGGAAAGAUCGAGCAGAGACAGAGAAGAAAAGGAGGCUCCAUUUUUCAGGCUGCUCUCCCGCAGGCUCAUGUUUUGUGUUCAUGCCAGGCAGAGAACACAAAAUGUUCCAAUAAAUAAGUAUCAAAGGUUAGUGGUGAAAAUGAAGGAGGAGGAGGCAUUGCGUGAAAAACUAAACAUGCAAAAUAUUACACACAAAGAGAACCAAAAUGCAGGUUCACUGGAAAUGAUAGACAAUAUGUUAAAACAAGAGGAGAGAAGAGAGCUGAAAUAAUCAAAUGGAAACACACAAUUUAGGGCUAAGAUCUUGUUGUGUUCAGCCACAAAUGAUGGCCAGCAGUGAGGAAUCUGUGUGUUCUCCACACUCUUCGCUCCUGGGAAGUCAACUCACAUGGACCAUGAUAUCAAUAUCUGCUCCUUCCCCUAAUAUCUGUUUGACCUUGGGUCAGUUACUUAAACUUCCUAAGCCUUAGUUUCUUUGUCUGGAAAAUAGGGAUAGUUAUACCUACCACACAACCACUUUGUAAUGAAUAUGUUGGAAAUUAUAUGCAAAUUGGCUUCCGUUGGUGUUUGGAACAUAGUAGGUUUUUAACUGGAAUAUAAUAGCUACCAUUAUCAGUAUCAUCAUAUUAAUUUAUAUUUCCAUCUUCAGCCCUUAACCCAGGAUCUUCAGUAAAUGUUGAAUUCUCAAAUUUGUUAAAUUCACUUGUCUAUACUAAUAUUUUACUCUAGGUUUCUUAGAAUAUUCUAGAUAAUAUUAUUAUGUAGAAUAUGUUAUGUAAGCUUCAUCUUAUCUGUAAAUAUAGUUUUACUUUUUCCUUUCUAAUUUUUAUGUCGAUUACUUCUUUUUCUUGGCUUAUUGAAUUGGCUAGGAUUCCCGUACAGUGUUGAAUACGUGCAGCAAGACUGCACAUCUUGCCUUGUUCCUGGUCCCACAGAGAGAAUAUCCAGUACUUCACAAUAAGUAUGUGUUAAUUGUAGAUUUUAUUAGAUUGAGGAAGUUCCCUUUCCUUUCAAGUCAGUCUUUUUAUUUUAAACAUGUAUUGAAGUUUUGUCAAAUGUCUUCAUCUAUUGGAAUAAUUAUACAUAUCUCUUUUUUAUUCUGUUAAUAUUACAUUUCAAUCUUCUGUCUACCUAAAAUCCCUAGAAUAAUCUCCAUUUGGCUAUGAUGUGUUGUGCUUUUAUAUAUUACUGAAUUCUAUAUGCCAAUAUUAUUAAAAUUUUCUGUCUUUAUGAGAAA